GAGUUUGAUCCUGGCUCAGGAUGAACGCUGGCGGCGUGCUUAACACAUGCAAGUCGAACGAAGCGAUAGGAAGGAAGUUUUCGGAUGGAAUUCAUAUUGACUGAGUGGCGGACGGGUGAGUAACGCGUGGGUAACCUGCCUCAUACAGGGGGAUAACAGUUAGAAAUGACUGCUAAUACCGCAUAAGCACACAGAAUCGCAUGAUUCGGUGUGAAAAACUCCGGUGGUAUGAGAUGGACCCGCGUCUGAUUAGCUAGUUGGUGGGGUAAAGGCCUACCAAGGCGACGAUCAGUAGCCGACCUGAGAGGGUGAUCGGCCACAUUGGGACUGAGACACGGCCCAAACUCCUACGGGAGGCAGCAGUGGGGAAUAUUGCACAAUGGGGGAAACCCUGAUGCAGCAACGCCGCGUGAGUGAAGAAGUAUUUCGAUAUGUAAAGCUCUAUCAGCAGGGAAGAAGAUGACGGUACCUGAGUAAGAAGCCCCGGCUAACUACGUGCCAGCAGCCGCGGUAAUACGUAGGGGGCAAGCGUUAUCCGGAUUUACUGGGUGUAAAGGGAGCGUAGACGGCAUAGCAAGUCUGAAAUGAAAGCCCAAGGCUCAACCAUGGGACUGCUUUGGAAACUGUUAAGCUAGAGUGCUGGAGAGGUAAGCGGAAUUCCUAGUGUAGCGGUGAAAUGCGUAGAUAUUAGGAAGAACACCAGUGGCGAAGGCGGCUUACUGGACAGUAACUGACGUUGAGGCUCGAAAGCGUGGGGAGCAAACAGGAUUAGAUACCCUGGUAGUCCACGCUGUAAACGAUGAAUGCUAGGUGUUGGGGAGCAAAGCUUCUCGGUGCCGCCGCAAACGCAAUAAGCAUUCCACCUGGGGAGUACGUUCGCAAGAAUGAAACUCAAAGGAAUUGACGG
rnacentral:rRNA from 1 species